AUCACGAUGCUGUGAAGGUCGCCUUGGCCGUCUUUAUAAAAACUGUGAUGGUCGAGAAGGAUAAGAAAACAUAGUUUGACAUGGAUAUUUUGGAAAGAGUUGAUGAUGAAGAAGUAUUUAAGAGCUUUGAUUGGUCAACUUUCUUCUACACUCAUCUGCUCAAGAGUUUAAAGGCAAGUCUACAAGGGAAAAAAGAAGCAUACAAGCUAAAAAGACAAAAAGUUCCAAAGCAGUGGCAUACUACAACAUCAAAGGCUACGUGCUUGCUUUUUAGGUGUGAGCUUAUGAAGUACUCUCAACUGCAAGUGAACACUUGAUCAAUCCCUAGGAUAUUGAGAUGGAAUUGUACACAAGCUCCAUCUUACAAAAUGCUGCAGAAGAACAUAUUCGACAAUAAAAAUAUUGUUGUUAAACAUAAACUGAAGCUAUCAACCCAAGAGAAAGCUUUCAUGGAGAGUCGAAUUCGAGGGGAUGAUAACAUGGAAAUGGAGGACGAUGAAUCCAUUCCAGAUAUUAACAAUAGUGAUAUCAAUACUCCUGAUCAUGCAAUGAACAACCAAUCAUUGGAGCAUCAAACUUAUCUCCACAACUGUUACCACGAAGAAAACAAAGACAAACAGUGACUGACUAAUCUAAAAUGCAUCUAAUCACUAACAAGAAAUGUUGCAGAUCAAAGAAGUCGAAUGACAAAGAACAACAAAGUCAUUUGAAAUCGUACAAAAAACUGAAGAAGGAAAUAAAAGAAGUUCGUAAGGACUUAUCCACACUGACUUCUAUAAUCUCUAAGAUGGAUGACACAAUAAAGAAGUAGUCAUUGGAGCUGUCUGAAAUGAAGCAGAUGUUGGAGAAAUUGGUCCAGGAAAUAAAUGAACAGCUAAAACCAAGGAAGAGAAGGAAGCUAUGCAAAAUAGCAAAUAAAAAGGUGUCUGAUCAAGAUCAACAAGUUAAUCCAUCCACAACAUCUACUGAGGUCAUAUCAGAACCUACAAUACCUGUCCCAGAUGUCGAAAUCAGAAAUGUAGAUAGAUAUGAUCCCAUGUGGUAAGUGGAUCCAAAAUUAUGGAAGACAUGCUUAUCUUGAAAAAGAUAAAAAAAAAAAAAAACAAUUGAUGAAGAAAGGCAAGUAGUCUCCACAACCAGAAAGAAAGAAUUUUUCAAAAAGCUUGAAGAAAACACAUGGAUACUA